rnacentral:snRNA from 1 species
UUAGCAAUUAGGUGACAUCUGAUAAAAUUGGAACGAUACAGAGAAGAUUAGCAUGGCCCCUGCGCAAGGAUGACACGCACAAAGGUUUAAAUAGUCCAAAUUUUU